CCUACGGGAGGCAGCAGUGGGGAAUAUUGCACAAUGGGGGAAACCCUGAUGCAGCGACGCCGCGUGAGUGCAGAAGUAAUUCGGUACGUAACGCUCUAUUAGUAGGGAAGAAAAUGACGGUACCUGAGUAAGCAUCCCCGGCUAACUACUUGCCAGCAGCCGCGGUAUUACGUAGGGUGCAAGCGUUAUCCGGAUUUACUGGGGGUAAAGGGAGCGUAGACGGUUGGGCAAGUCUGGAGGGAAAGGCCGCAGCUUACCUGCGGAACGGCUUUGGAAACUGGCGAACUAGAGUGCGGGAGGGGUAAGCGGAAUUCCAUGUGUAGCGGUGAAAUGCGUAGAUAUAAGGAGGAACACCAGUGGCGAAGGCGGCUUACUGGACCGUAACUGACGUUGAGGCUCGAAAGCGUGGGGAGCAAACAGGAUUAGAUACCCUAGUAGUC
rnacentral:rRNA from 1 species